AGCGCAAAAAACACCGCACCGCGCGAGGGACGAAAACGGCAUCGAACCCUAGCCCCAAUCCACAGCCCCACGUCCCUCGCUCCUUCCUCCCUCACCCGCCGCCGCUCCCUCCCACCUCCUCCUCCUCCUCCUUCUUCUGCGCCCUCGGAGCCCCGCCGCCGGCUGCUACUCCUCCACCGCCUCGCCUCUUCCUCCUCCCCGCCUUCCCAUCGCUCGCGUGCAGGCCAUCGUGGCCACACGCUUCGUGGGCGAACCCGACCGGCCCGUCGCUGUUGGCUCGAGCUGUUGGGAAGAGGGAGGAGUCCCGAGACAGGGUGAAGGCGCAGGCCGUGCCUGGUGAGGCGGCGCCGCCGGCCAUGGGACGCUGGACCUCGGGGAGCCCCAUCCCAGGCCCGCGCCCAAAUUCUUGAGCAAGGGAGGAUAGAUCGACGAUGGCGCAUCACAUAAGGGAAUGGGAGAUCGAGGAGAAGGGAGACGAGGGUGGGUGGUGGCUUGCAGCAUGGGGCGGUCACGUCCAAUGAGGGUGGUGUUCUGUGGAUCUGGUGCCCCCUCUCCUUUGGCGACCUCCUCCUCAAGCGUUUCAGGUGAAAUGCGGUGAGGAGCAAUGCACACGCAGCCAAUGGAUGGGAUGGUGCUGCUACUGGGCAGUCUAGGACAUCCAGUGGUUGGAGUGGGGGCUCUGUUCUGUGAGCUGACCGCUCCGUCACGAACAAGCAACCAUCUGCGGCCUUGCAAGGGUCGACACCGCCAUUGCCGCCUCAUCUGUCCUUUCCAGAUGCCAUGGUCUCCUCUCCUCUACAGAGACCUCCUCAUCUGCUGCCGAUGGCUGUGAGUUCACGGCUGCUCCGGAGCUCCAACGAGCCAAGCUGUGUGCAAAUCCGACAAAGAAGAGAAAAGGAAGAAUAUUGAGGAAGAGUUUUGGUGAAGAAGAACAAGUGGAAGGAUCGGUUUUUAUGGCAUGCACUACAAAGGAGAGAAGUGGACCAUGUGAACGUAGUACAACAUUGUUGUUAGUUCGCGCAGUCGAGGUCUGCUCAGGAAGACACAGUUCGACCGAACAGCUGUUGUGUUUUCCCAGUUGUUUGCAAAUCUGACGAAAAGGAGCAAAGAAAGAAUAUUGAGGAAUAUUUAGGUAAAGAAGAACAAGUGCAUUUAUGUUGCUUCCUGCAAGGUCAAUGAUAUGGUGCCAGCUGGAAUUCAUAUUCAAGCUAAUACAGUGACUAAAUUUGGCGAGCGAGUGCCUGAUCAUGAUCUGCGGGAGGGUAACGGUUAUUAUAAUAAUUGAGUGUACCCAAUGGAGGCUGCAUUACAUAAUUAAUGGGAGGGUAAGGGCGUCCAUAGUUUUCAUUGAACUACUGCAGUUUCCAACUGAAUUUUCAUUUGCAGAUUCCGAAGAACGGAGUUCUAGGUUCUAACCAUGUCGCUUCCAUUUGUUGUAUUCUGAGAAUAAAUCUUGUUCUAUAUCCCUGCAUUGUUAUCCACCGGACUCUAAAACAAAAAUCAAUGUUUGCACAUCCAGACAAGUCCAAGAACAACAAUUGCUCUUUGUUGUGGCAUUGCUGGAGAAAUACAAAUGUAUAUACCCGUUUCCCACUGUCCAGUCGAGGAGAUCCCUGAGGCAUUUGAUUCUUGUGGGACUCCAACACAUCUUACAGGAUCAUCAACAAGUGGCCGGGCCUCUGCAUUACUCAGAAAAGCUUCCGACAGUUUCCGAUUCAAAAGAAAACAAAUAAGAAAGGAUGCAUUGAUUAUUUUGGGUUGAUCUUGUUUGAAUUUCCAGUGAAAUUCAAACUUGAGACCUUACUCGAAGUAUUUAGUUCCAAUGGAACUAAAUGAAUUUCCCAAAAUGCCUCUUUGGGUAUUAGUUGCAUUUUUAUUUGGAUCCUUGUAUAUUCAAACAGUUUCUGAUUCAAAAGACAACAACAGUGAGAAGAUAAAAUGAUUAAGCAACACCCAAAUAGUGGUCGCAGCAGAUCUCUCUCUCAUUCUCUUUCCAGUUUGGUUGACCAUUCUUUCUGUUCUUAGGUCUUUGAUCUGCUUUCUUCUUCAAUGAAGUAGACCACGAUCUCCUACACAUUCUGCCUUGCUCCCCGGGGCAACCUUCUAUGUUUUAGAUCCACUCUUUUUUUUUGAGAGAUAAUGGGCAGCCUCAUUCAUACAUUUCAGAACUGUUCAGUACAAACUAUAUUCCUGAUAACUUCAGGAGAUACAUUAAACCAGCAUGACCCUUCAUCAUGUUCAGCAGACUUUGCUAGAACAUGUGCUGCCUCAUUACAACUUCGACUAACAUGAGUAAAACAACAGGAUAAGAACCUUGGAGCCCUACUCUUAAUAUCAAAAACUACAGCACCUGUGUGAGACCUGUCAUCCACUUUACUCUUAAUUUUGUUGAUCAAACUGGCACAAUCUGUCUCCACAAGGAUUUUCUGGAAACUGGAAUCUUCAGCAAAAAACAACGCAUGGCGCAUUGCAAUAAGCUUCACCCAGCUCCGGAUUAUCAACAUGAUGAAUAAACCCUCUGCUUGCUGCCAGCACCAGACCUAGAUGAUUUCGGAUCACAACACCAAUGCCCAUGCGUUUAGUCUGGGCAAAAAUCGCAGCAUCAACAUUGACCUUGACCGACUCAGCCGGCGGCGGAGACCACUUCGGGAUUGACACCUGGUGCUCACGCCUAUUGGAGCCAGUCGACCUGAAAUUGUGCAAUAAGAUGAAAUCGACAUAAGCUCUGUGAUCCUCAUUGGGCUGGUUGAGCUAUCCAACAAGUUUCUAGCUGAGGCAAUUUGAAAAGCUCGAGCUCCCUAAACCAGUCUACUUCGUACGUAGGCUUGAGGAGGGUGGAUAUGUGUCGGUAGUUGAGUUUUACCCCACAAAGGAGCAUUUCUGCAUUUCAGCAGAACGAAUUGCGCUGUCAGACCCGUAUGUAAGGAUGGGGUGUUAUCGAUGAAUCAGGAUGGGGUGUUAUCGAUCAAUCACGCGGCUGUUCGAGCCCUCAGGUUCAUGGAACGGAGAGAGCACAAGGUGCUUCUUGAUUUCAACUAUGAGCAUCUGCAAGAAGAAAAAAAAAGGCAUAUGCAAGCAUCACAAACAAGCUACUCGAAAAAGGAAAAGAAAUUAAGAAGCACAAGAAGACCAUCAAACAGAUGACUAGGGAAGGGUGCGAGUAUGUGGAUGAAGUGUGUGUUGCACCAAACGAAAUCCAUUAUCAUGCUGGAGCUACCUACUGCUUCUUCAAUGACAGACAUGCUCUUCUGGAGAUUCAUGAUGUCGUGGUUGAACUUCAAAGCAUUACAAGCGCGGCAUGUCUCUCACUGCAGCAGAAAGGUAUAUACCCAUAUGAUCCAAGCUCAGACUCAAGUUGUGGUGUGGAUUUUGUUAAUGAGAUGGGUGAUGGCUACAACUAUGAGUGAUCACCGUAGGCAUAGGCUUACUCUUAGGCAGUCUGGUAUGCAUACUAAACGCAGCUAUGAACACUAUGCGUUGUACUGACUUUGAUGCAUCUCUCUCCAUGUAACUUUGCUUAUCAUAAACUAAUCUCAAGCCUUUCUUUUGGCCUAUGAACCUACCUUUAAUGUAAUAGAUAACGCUAUCAUACAUAAAUAUCUACUUCCUUGCUUCAAAGAUUUAAUGACUGGUCUCUAAAUAUUCUUUUCUUCCAUGGUUCGCUCUCGCCCUUUGCGCCAUUGGCGCAACGGGACGGGCUCCCCUGCAUCCUCCUCCUCGCGCGGGCGAGGACGACGCCUCCGGAGUGAGCUGAGGGUGGGGGGCGGGUCAAGGCUGCUGUUGGCGGCCUGGAUGCAGGCGAUGGUGGCGGCCGGCGGGGGUCUGGCGGGCGAGGGAAGGAGCAGCAAGACUGGUGAUGGGCCAAGCGCCACCAGAGGAGGGGGAAGGGGCGACUUCGUGCUUCGCAACAACAGUUCGUGUCCAUGAAAAAAUUGUGGUGGUGAUGGUUGAUCUAAGUAUCAGAUUGGUUAUAUGGAAAUGGGGCUUUACUUCCGGAGAUGUUCCCAAUGAAGGAGCUUCGAGGCGAGCACUCCAAUGAUGUAGUUUUGUAUAUGGCAUAAUCUUUAAUGAAGAUGAUCGGGAAAGCUCAAGGACAGCCCCUGGUUGAGGAGGCCGAGGAAAGCCCACAGUCGAGGAGGGGAUGCUCGGCACAGCUAGGGUUUGGGUGGGGGUUGGUUCCAACACCGAUGAUGACAUUGGCCAACAGCGGCACAUCCCUCGAUUUCCAUAACCUCACACCAUGAGUAUGAGGUUAAAUUUGUUUAAAGAUGAUGCUAUGCAAAAUGCGUAAGCUGGGGAUGGCAUGACAGUGCAUGGUGAUGCUGUCGGUCGAGAAGUACCAUGCCGCUCUUGCCUUCCCUGCCAAUGCUUCCUCCUACCAUGCUAGCCAUGUGUGCCCUCACCUUUGUUCAUCAAUUCGUGUGCAGUUAUUCAGAGAACACCACAUGUCACAUGAAUUCUAGACUACUUGUCUACAGUUAACUGAACCAGGUCUUGAGUUUGCUUGCUUAAUCGUGUCCCUGUGUAAUUGCUCACCAAGCUCGCCAAUGUGAGUUUGUCCCACAUAAUGGAGUUUCUAUGAAUUUUUGUAGUCCAGAAAUUCUUGGAAAUUCUCUUGUUGCUGUUAUAAUGUGGGUGUGUUCGGCUUCCUUCUUCAUUAAAGUUUGACAAGAGUCGUAAAACCAAUGGAUAAGAGACUGUUUGAUGGUGAAAGCAUUUAUGCUCGUGGUGACUACCUCAAGUGUGCCAGAAUGGCUGCUGUUAAACAAGAGGAGGUAGACACAGCCAAUGAUACCAGCGGUGGCCAAAUUACCCAUGACGAACCACUAUGUCGGAAGCACAAUAAGCGACACGAGUAUAUUCAUCGCCCACGCAAAGCAAGCUUAAUCCAAAAGUUCAAAGGCAAGAAAAUCCAUCUAAAGCCUGGAAAGUCCAUUCUCCGUGGUGAGCCUUGCAAGCACUACUUAGAUGAGUUUAGUCACCACGUUACGUUGUGUGGGGCAACACAGUUAGGCUCUACAACAUAAUGUUCGUGCACUGCGAAAGAUCAUCCGCAGCACCACCACGCCUAAUAACUACUAUGUGUGCCACAUGACAGAAACAUUUGCAACACAAGGCAAAAGAAUGUACUUUAAUGUCCACUUUUCUACGGGUUCCCUUUUCCCACACAUGAAUGCUGACCACGGUGAACUUCCAAUCACAACUGGAGACGGAACAACCACCGUCACGGUCCGCUUUAUCAAGGGAGUUGACAAAAGGGCCACCAUCACUAAAGGCUGGAGCGACUUCUUUCGUCGGACCCACAUGAACGAAGGGCAAGCAUAUGCUUUCGGCUUUAAAUGCACUUCCAAGGGAUUGCGCCUGAUUGUCUACUCAAUAUAAGCAAGCUGCAGGAGCCCCUUGCUAUAUAACAUAGUAUUAGUAUAAAUGCCUACAAAGACAUCUAUGUUUAUCCUCCUUUUUGAUCUUCUGUAAUCCCCUAAGACAGUGUUGUGCAUUUAGCUAUCGAUUAUCCGCUACUUAGACUGCUCUAUCGCAUGCUUUUGAAACAACCAUGAUAAAGGAAAUAUAUGCUCCUUCAAGUGCA